rnacentral:sRNA from 12 species
AGCCUAAACCAUUGGAAACUAUGGCAUGGCGCAAUAAAAACCUAAGCAGUAAAAACGGUCUCGUGACUGGUACUUAUUGCUUAGGUCGGUGCUCGAAAGAGUGUCGGGUUGCCCGAAAGGGUUACC